AUUGAACGCUGGCGGCAGGCCUAACACAUGCAAGUCGAACGAGUGGCGGACGGGUGAGUAAUGUCUGGGAAACUGCCUGAUGGAGGGGGAUAACUACUGGAAACGGUAGCUAAUACCGCAUACCAUCGGAUGUGCCCAGAUGGGAUUAGCUAGUAGGUGGGGUAAAGGCUCACCUAGGCGACGAUCCCUAGCUGGUCUGAGAGGAUGACCAGCCACACUGGAACUGAGACACGGUCCAGACUCCUACGGGAGGCAGAAGUGGGGAACAUUGCACAAGGGGCGAAAGCCUGAUGCAGCAAGGCCGCGUGUAUGAAGAAGGCUUUCGGGUUGUAAAGUACGUUCAGCGGGGAGGCGGUACCCGCAUAAGAAGCAACGGCUAACUCCGUGCCAGCAGCCGCGGUAAUUC
rnacentral:rRNA from 1 species